rnacentral:rRNA from 1 species
AUGAACGCUAGCGGCAGGCCUAAUACAUGCAAGUCGAACGGGAUCCAGAUCAAAGCUUGCUUUGGUCUGGUGAGAGUGGCGCACGGGUGCGUAACGCGUGAGCAACCUACCCUUGUCAGGGGGAUAGCCCGGCGAAAGUCGGAUUAAUACCGCAUGACAUCAUUGAGAGGCAUCUUUCGAUGAUCAAAGAUUUAUCGGACAAGGAUGGGCUCGCGUGACAUUAGCUAGUUGGUAAGGUAACGGCUUACCAAGGCUGCGAUGUCUAGGGGCUCUGAGAGGAGAAUCCCCCACACGUGUACUGAGACACGGACCAGACUCCUACGGGAGGCAGCAGUAAGGAAUAUUGGUCAAUGGACGGAAGUCUGAACCAGCCAUGCCGCGUGCAGGAAGACGGCCCUAUGGGUUGUAAACUGCUUUUAUACGGGAACAAACGUCGGUACGUGUACCGGUCUGAGUGUACCGUAAGAAUAAGGAUCGGCUAACUCCGUG